rnacentral:lncRNA from 10 species
CUCCAGACGGCUGGACUUUGAUCCUUGCCAGGGCUGAAUUCCAGAUGGAGGGCUUCCCGGCUGCUUGGGCAAUACGAUUGAUGGUGUGUUAAUGAUGUCAGGGCUAUAGACAAACUCCAGCCUUGGCCGGGUGCAGAGGGCCAAUUAUCAGUGGUGAUCGGAGCCAGGCACUCCGGCCCCAUCAGCUCAUGGGCAGGGAAGACGCAGGGAAGGGGACAUGGGGACUUCUUGCAAUGGAGCAGUUGACAGAAUCAGAACUACCUGCCAGGGGGCAAAAUUAGAGCCAGAAAUGAGUCUGGAGCUACAUGGACCUAGGAAGAAUAUUUAGAAGCCCUGCCCUCAUGAACUGGGAAGGAAGAAAAGACACCUUCCCCCACAACGCCACAGGAGCUAUCAAAUGUGCUCUUUUUAAAGUCAUUUCUAUUCUUUAAAAAAAUGCACCAUUGUGGUGCAGCCACUGUGAAAAGCAGCAUGGCGCUUCCUCAAACAAUUAAAAACAGAAUUACUCUGUGAUCUAACAAUUCCAAAAUGUGUACGGCCAUGUCCAUUUUAGCAUUAGUCACGAUACCCAAAAGGUGGAGGCAAGCCAGUGUCCACUGAAGCCUGAAGGGAUCAACAAAAUCUGGUAUAUACAUGCAAUGGAGUGUGGUUCCACCUAGAAAAGGAGGGAAAUUCUGGCACCUGCUACACAGGGGUGAACUCGAAGACAUUAUGCCAAGUGAAAUAAGCUGGUCACAAAAGGACAAAUACUGCGUGAUUCCAUUCAUAGGAGGUGCCUAGAGGAGUCAAGAUCACAGAGACAGAAAGAAUAGUGGUGUCAGCGACUGGGGAGUUAGCGUUUGAUGGGCACAGGGUUUGUUUUGCAAGAGGAAGAGGUUCUGGAGAUUGUUUGCACGGCACUGUGGAGCUGCUCAACCCUACUGAGUUGUACACUUAAAAGUGGUUAAGAUGGUACAUUUCACAUUAUGUGUAUUUUUACCACAAUUGAAUUAUUUUUUAAAUGCACCCAUUUUAAAUGGAUAAUUCCCUGUGCUUUGACAAAUAUAACACCACCAACUAAAACAGAGAUGUUCCUCUCACUCUACUAAGUUCCCUCAUGCCCUUUUGCAGUCUGUAUUAUUUCUAAACAUCCUAUUGGAUUAAAAUUUAAUUAAGUAGAAAUGAUAUCUCCAAUGCCCUGGGUCUGCUCCAAGCCUAAAAUCUCUGAGGCUACCAGGAGCCAUUUCACAUGCAGGUCCCCUUCUGCCCGGGGCCCACGGGCCUUUCCCGAGGUGUCUGUGGGGGUUUACAGGGGCAGGGAGGCACCAUAGGAAGGAUAUUUGCUUUGGCUUCUUCAAGUCUAAUGAACGCCAAGGUAUUGAAUGUAACAACAUUAAAGCUUCUCCUCCUCACACACAUACACGUGCACACACACAUGCACAUGUGUGCAUACACACGUGCGCGCAGACCCCCCACCCCCCAGCAGCUACCAGCCUCUUAGCUCAGUCUUCUAUGCACUAUAAAUUUGCCAAGCCAGAUUGCUCUUCUCAGCCACCCCUACACCUGGCACCUAUGCCCAACCGGGAAUCUGUCCCCUGGGGCUCUUCACCUAAACGAGGGCUGCCCUGGGAGAGUGGACUCAGACCAGCCCCCCAGGGCCUUGGCCCCCUGCUUUCAAAUCCCUUGACUUUUGCCCAUUAAGAUUUGUCAGUGAACAUCGUCCCCUGGUGGAAAAUCUAGGACAUAACAAAUAUGUAUCUGAGCUUCUGCGGUAUUUCCUAGAAUUUAUUCAUUCCAAAAUAUUUGCGAGGGAAAUAACUUUUCGGUGGAGAAAUCCAGAAGACGCAGCCUUAACCAAGGGUUCAAGGUUAAUGUCAUCUGUAAGAUGAUACGAUGACAUCUCGAACCCUCCCAACACUAAUGCAUUGGGAAGGACGUUGUCACUUCCAUGGUGUUCUUGUCCCAAGAUGCAUAACCACAAUUUCACCACUAGAAAAUAUCAGACUAACCCAAGUUGAGAGACCAAAUAACUACAAAAUAACUGACCAGUCGGUUUUGGGCUGUUCACCCAAACGAGAGCUCAAACAAGAACAGUUCUGUCAAAGUCACAAAGCAAUAAGGAAAGACGGAGGAUUGGUCACAGAUCAGAGGAGACGAAGGAGACGUGAUGAGUGAACGCCAUGUGGGGUCCCAGAUUGGACCCUGGAUCAGGAAAACGACCUCAUGGGAAAACGUGCAAUCUGAGCAAAGGCUGAGGUCGAGUUUACGGUGAUGCACAAAUGUCCAUUUCUUAGUCCUCAUUCUUGUCCUGUGACGAUGCAAGAUGUCAACACCAGGGGGAGACGAGUGAAGGGUAUACAGGAAUCUCUGUGCUGCCUUUGUAACUUUUCUGUAAGUGCAAAAUUAUUUCAAAAUAAAAC